AAAUCUGAUGUUCCUUGUCCUCUUCUGUAUCCUGUGCAUUAUAGCACCAUUCCAGGUUGCUUACAUGUAAUUCUUCUUUGUAAGAAAGUCACCAGUUCUAUUUUUGUGACCAUGAUAACUUCUUUUCAGUCUGUCCUGAAGUUUGUCUUCUUCAGUCGUCUGUUUUUUUAUGUCUCUCUGAAGUCGUUUCCUGCAGCACUGCGUCCUUGCUUUAUUUGAAUGCAGGUUUGAAACACCGUCAGAGAGUGGAGUUACAUGAGCGUCUCUCUGCGUGCAGGCAGCCUGUCUGGGCCUGUCAGUCCUCUGCAGGCUGAGAACAUCAAGCUCUGAUAGGAGGAGCCACGACACCUGAUGAACCAAUCAGAGGAGCCGUGUGAGGGAGGCAGCAGUUUCUGCAACAACAUGAGGGUGUUGUGACAGAAACAGAGAGCCAGCCAAGAAACUCUCCAGCCCGGGUAAUGACUCAAAGGAAACAUUAACACAUCGUGUGUUCAGACUCAGAGGAACACUUCAGACUUUUUAUGCACUUAAGUAUUUUCUGAUUGCACGUUAGAGGAGGUAUUCUUAAAGUGGAGAUUAUCAGAAAGAAACUGCAUUUAAAAUAUGAUGUUUUACAAGGUUUCUGCAGAAAGUGUGCAGGCUUUAAGUAUCUGCUGCUACCUUUAAAUAAACGUACCUCCUGAAAUCA